UGAACACAGAAUCUCGAACCUAAAACUCCGAACUCCAAACCCGAACCCUGAACCCUAAACCUUGAGUCUCAAACCUAGAACCCCGAGUUCGAGUUUGGGGUUUAGAAAAUUCAAGGUUCAAGAUUUAAGUUUGGAUUCAAGUUUAGGUUUGGGGUUUAGAGUUUGAACUCAGGGUUUGAGUUUGGGUUUUAAUGUUUAAGCUUUUAAGUUUGGGGUUUAAGAUUUUGCUUCGAGAUUCUGGGUAAAAAAAAAACUAAAAUCAUGUGUUAAUGACAUGAAAAAAAUUGAUGAAAUGUCAUUAAAUUAUUGGAAGAGACUAUAGAUGAUGUGGUGAGAAGG
rnacentral:lncRNA from 1 species